AUGGCCGGCUCCGACGACGACGAGGCGGCGGCGGCGGCGGCGUUGGCGCCGAUCCACUGCCUGCCGCCGGACGCGCUGCGGAACGUGCUGCUGCGGCUGACGCUGCGGGACGCGGUGGCGUGCCGCCCCGUGUCGCGCCUCUUCCGGGAGACCCUCACGGGGCCCUUCCUCGCGCUGCUGCCGGCGCUCCGCCUGCUGCUGCUCCGCCACCCGCGCCCCGACGGCGGGGGCUGCCUCCACGCCUUCGACCCCGACCGCCGCCGCUGGCUCCGCCUCCCCUUCACCGCCUUCCUCCCGCACCAGGCCUUCUCCCCCGUCGCCUCCUCCGCCUCGCUCCUCUACCUCUGGAUCGAGACCGCCCCCGCGCCCCUCACCUCCUCCUCCUCCUCCUCGUCGUCCUCCUCGCCCGCCGCCGCGCACCCGCCCAAGGCGCUCGCCGUCUGCAACCCGCUGGCGGGCACCUACCGCCUCCUGCCGCCGCUCGGAUCCGCCUGGGCGCGCCACGGCACCGUCCUCGCGGGGCCCGGCGGCGUCGUGCUCGUCCUCACCGAGCUCGCCGCGCUCUCCUACUCCCCGUCCGAGGGAUCUGGCAAGUGGAUGAAGCACCCCCUCUCGCUCCCCUCCAAGCCGCGGAGCCCCAUCCUGGCCGCCGGCGCCCGCGCCGUCUUCGCGCUCUGCGACGUCGGCACCCCCUGGCGCAGCCAGUGGAAGCUCUUCUCCUGCCCGCUCGCCAGGCUCACCGGCGGCUGGGCGCCCGUCGAGCGCGCCUCCUGGGGCGACGUCUUCGAGAUCCUCAAGCGCCCCCGCCUGCUGGCCGGCGCGGGCGGCCGCCGCGUCCUCAUGAUCGGUGGCCUCAGGUCGUCCUUCGCCCUCGACGCGCCCUGCUCCACGGUGCUCAUCCUCCGCCUGGAUCUGGCCACCAUGGAGUGGGACGAGGCUGGCCGCAUGCCGCCCAAUAUGUACCGCUGCUUCACUGGCCUCUGCGAGGCUGCUGCCCAGGGAAGCGCCAUGCCCGCCGCCCCUGUUGCCGGCGGCAACAACAAGGUAAAGGUGUUUGGGGGUGAUGGCAAGGUGUGGUUUGGUGGAAAGCGCGUCCGCGGGAAGCUGGCAAUGUGGGAGGAGGACGACGUGGGGAGCAGCGGCGGCAAGUGGGACUGGGUGGAUGGUGUUCCUGGAUAUGGUGAUGGUGUAUACCGCGGCUUUGUGUUCGACGGUGGGUUCACAGCAAUGCCGUGA
rnacentral:rRNA from 1 species